GGGAAGGUAGCUCAGUGGUAGAGUGCUUGCCUGCCAUGCAUGAGGCUCUGGGUUCGAUUUCUCAGCACCA
rnacentral:tRNA from 1 species